UACGUAGGGACCAAGCGUUGUUCGGAUUUACUGGGCGUAAAGGGCGCGUAGGCGGCAAUUCAAGUCAUCUGUGAAAUCUCCGGGCUUAACUCGGAACGGUCAGAUGAUACUGCUUUGCUCGAGUGCGGAAGGGGCAAUCGGAAUUCUUGGUGUAGCGGUGAAAUGCGUAGAUAUCAAGAGGAACACCUGAGGUGAAGACGGGUUGCUGGGCCGACACUGACGCUGAGGCGCGAAAGCCAGGGGAGCAAACGGG
rnacentral:rRNA from 1 species